rnacentral:rRNA from 1 species
UAACGCGUGGGAUCUACCUUUGGUACGGGAUAACGUUUGGAAACGAACGCUAAUACCGGUAUGUGGUCUACGGACCAAAGAUUUAUCGCCAAAGGAUGAACCCGCGUAGGAUUAGAUAGUUGGUGGGGUAAUGGCCUACCAAGUCUACGAUCUUUAGCUGUUCUGAGAGGAAGAUCAGCCACACUGGAACUGAGACACGGUCCAG